AUUAACUGUGUGGGCAGGCGAAGCUGAAAUACAUACAUACCCCCACUCGUCACAUGCCUUUUGCUUUUGGAUGAUGUAUCUACCAGCCUGUAAGAGAGGCCAUCUUUCAUAAGACUCUCUUGGGCUGGUUCCUUCAUUCCAGUAUCUCUGGGCUUCCAAAUACUUGGAAAUACAUUCCAGUAUUUCUUGAGCUGGAACCCUGGCACACACUGCCC